GAUGAACGCUGGCGGCGUGCCUAAUACAUGCAAGUCGAGCGAACAGACGAGGAGCUUGCUCCUCUGACGUUAGCGGCGGACGGGUGAGUAACACGUGGAUAACCUACCUAUAAGACUGGGAUAACUUCGGGAAACCGGAGCUAAUACCGGAUAAUAUAUUGAACCGCAUGGUUCAAUAGUGAAAGACGGUUUUGCUGUCACUUAUAGAUGGAUCCGCGCCGCAUUAGCUAGUUGGUAAGGUAACGGCUUACCAGGGCAACGAUGCGUAGCCGACCUGAGAGGGUGAUCGGCCACACUGGAACUGAGACACGGUCCAGACUCCUACGCGAGGCAGCAGUAGGGAAUCUUCCGCAAUGGGCGAAAGCCUGACGGAGCAACGCCGCGUGAGUGAUGAAGGUCUUCGGAUCGUAAAACUCUGUUAUUAGGGAAGAACAAAUGUGUAAGUAACUAUGCACGUCUUGACGGUACCUAAUCAGAAAGCCACGGCUAACUACGUG
rnacentral:rRNA from 1 species